rnacentral:rRNA from 1 species
UACGUAGGGGGCUAGCGUUGUCCGGAAUCAUUGGGCGUAAAGGGUGCGUAGGUGGCCUGACAAGUUAUCAGUGGCAAAUCGAGGCUCAACCUCGUGGAAACUGGUAAUACUGUUCGGCUUGAGUACAGGAGAGGUUAACGGAACUCUAUGUGGAGCGGUAAAAUGCACAGAUAUAUGGAAGAACAUCAAUAAAAGGCUGAAGGCAGUUAACUAUUCUGUUACUGACGCUGAGGCACGAAAGCGUGGGGGAGCAAAACGG